UGGCUGCAGUAUUUUAACUGUACAAAGGUAGCAUAAUAAAUAGUUUCUUAAUUGGGAGCUUGUAUGAAAGGGUUUAUGAAUUAUAAUUUUUAUUUUAUUUAUUUUUAGAAUUUUAUUUCUAAGUAAAAAAGCUUAGUUUUUUUUUUGGGACGAAAAGACCCUAUAGAACUUAAUUGAUUUAAUUUAUUAUUUAUUUUUUGUUAAAUAACAUUAAUUUAAUAUCUAAAUUUAUUUGAUUGGGGCGAUUAUAAAGAAUAAAAAAACUUUAUUUUUUUAUUUCAUUUGUUUAUGAUUUGUUGAUCCAAUGUUUUUGAUUAAAAGAUUUAGUUACCUUGGGGAUAACAGCGUAAUUUUAAUGGGGAGUUCAUAUUUAUAUUAAA
rnacentral:rRNA from 1 species